ACGGGUGAGUAACACGUGGGUAAUCUUCCCUGGUGCGGGGGAUAACAUUCCGAAAGGAGUGCUAAUACCGCAUAAGACCACGGCUUCGAAAGGAGCUGAGGUAAAAGCAGGCCUCUUCACGAAAGCUUGCACACCAGGAUGAGCCCGCGGCCCAUCAGCUAGUUGGUAGGGUAAUGGCCUACCAAGGCAAAGACGGGUAGCUGGUCUGAGAGGAUGAUCAGCCACACUGGAACUGAGACACGGUCCAGACUCCUACGGGAGGCAGCAGUGGGGAAUCUUGCGCAAUGGGCGAAAGCCUGACGCAGCGACGCCGCGUGAGUGAUGAAGGCCUUCGGGUUGUAAAGCUCUGUGGGGAGAGACGAAUAAGUGUUGGCUAAUAUCCAGCAUGAUGACGGUAUCUCCUUAGCAAGCACCGGCUAACUCUGUGCCAGCAGCCGCGGUAAGACAGAGGGUGCAAACGUUGUUCGGAAUUACUGGGCGUAAAGCGUGUGUAGGCGGCCUUAUAAGUCGGAUGUGAAAGCCCAGGGCUCAACCCUGGAAGUGCACUCGAUACUGUAAGGCUCGAGUACUGGAGAGGUUGGUGGAAUUCU
rnacentral:rRNA from 1 species